rnacentral:rRNA from 1 species
GAUGAACGCUGGCGGCGUGCCUAAUACAUGCAAGUCGAGCGAACGGACGAGAAGCUUGCUUCUCUGAUGUUAGCGGCGGACGGGUGAGUAACACGUGGAUAACCUACCUAUAAGACUGGGAUAACUUCGGGAAACCGGAGCUAAUACCGGAUAAUAUUUUGAACCGCAUGGUUCAAAAGUGAAAGACGGUCUUGCUGUCACUUAUAGAUGGAUCCGCGCUGCAUUAGCUAGUUGGUAAGGUAACGGCUUACCAAGGCAACGAUGCAUAGCCGACCUGAGAGGGUGAUCGGCCACACUGGAACUGAGACACGGUCCAGACUCCUGCGGGAGGCAGCGGUAGGGAAUCUUCCGCAAUGGGCGAAAGCCUGACGGAGCAACGCCGCGUGAGUGAUGAAGGUCUUCGGAUCGUAAAACUCUGUUAUUAGGGAAGAACAUAUGUGUAAGUAACUGUGCACAUCUUGACGGUACCUAAUCAGAAAGCCACGGCUAACUACGUG